rnacentral:misc_RNA from 1 species
UCCGGUUUGGCACCGGCAGUCUCCCUAGAGUCCCCGACGUUACCCGCUGGCAACAUGGAACGAGGGUUGCGCUCGUUGCGGGACUUAACCCAACAUCUCACGACACGAGCUGACGACAGACAUGCAGCAUCUGUGGCGCACCCUCGAAGGUCACACGUUUCCGUGCGCUUGCAGCGCCAUGUCAAGCCCAGGUAAGGUUCUUCGCGUUGCAUCGAAUUAAGCAACAUGCUCCGCCGCUUGUGCGGGCCCCCGUCAAUUCCUUUGAGUUUUAGCCUUGCGGCCGUACUCCCCAGGCGGAACACUUAUCGCGUUGGCUGCGGCACAGACAGAUUCGACUCCGCCCACACCUAGUGUUCAUCGUUUACGGCGUGGACUAC